CUAGAAUGAUAUGGAAAAUUGGAUGGACAGUAUGGAUAAAGUCCAUACAUCACGUUGGACCCUCAGAGCCCCAUCCUAUCCCAAUCUGCCUCUCCAAAAACUCCCAAGUGACGUGGAUGUACACGUUGGAUUGGAACUGUCCUCUCCCACGUAUAAGAUAGGAUUUGAACGGAAAAGAGAAGAAGACUGUCGAUCUGUACGGUAUUUUAUUUCAGGACUACAGCAUUAGUAUUGUAUGGACACAAUACUACCUAGUACAGUGGUUUCUCAGGAACUGGCUCGCGAGUCUCUGAUUGCAAUCUCUCAACAUAUUCCAGAGAUGAUUCUUGCCUCAGAACUUAAUGUCUGGCAACUAAACCAAUGGAAGCAUUGUCGGAUUGAACGACAGAGAUGGAAAUGAAAAAUAUAGAGAUAGGCUGAUCGCUAUUUCAUGUGGUCAUUCCGAAGAUGAUAUAACCUUCUAAGCUUCAACGGAAAAUCUCAGCGGUUGAUCAGGAAAGUAGUAUCUGUGUUGUUUCUGAUGCAUUAUUAUUGUUUGAGAUUUGAUACUUUAAAGUGCAGCUACUUCACAUCCUUGAGUAGAUGUGUUUAUCAACA